GACCAGACUCCUACGGGAGGCAGCAGUGGGGAAUAUUGCACAAUGGGGGAAACCCUGAUGCAGCGACGCCGCGUGAGCGAAGAAGUAUUUCGGUAUGUAAAGCUCUAUCAGCAGGGAAGAAAAUGACGGUACCUGACUAAGAAGCUCCGGCUAAAUACGUACCUGCAGCCGCGGUAAUACGUAUGGAGCAAGCGUUAUCCGGAUUUACUGGGUGUAAAGGGAGCGUAGGCGGCCAGACAAGUCUGAUGUGAAAGGCUGGGGCUCAACCCCAGGACUGCAUUGGAAACUGUGAGGCUAGAGUGUCGGAGAGGCAGGCGGAAUUCCUAGUGUAGCGGUGAAAUGCGUAGAUAUUAGGAGGAACACCAGUGGCGAAGGCGGCCUGCUGGACGAUGACUGACGCUGAGGCUCGAAAGCGUGGGGAGCAAACAGGAUUAGAUACCCCGGUAA
rnacentral:rRNA from 1 species